rnacentral:rRNA from 1 species
AUGGGGCGCCGCGGAUCCGCGAGCGGGUGGCUCGUCCUCCUGCUCGCUCUUCUCGCUGUCUCUCUGGUCCCGUCGUGCUCGGCCGCUAAGGUAAAGACCAGCCCGACGGACUGGAGCCUCCACCUCCCCCUGCCCAACGGCGUCACCGGCGCCGAGAGCCUGGCCUUCGACGCGCGCGGCCAGGGUCCCUACACCGGCGUCUCUGACGGACGCGUCCUCAAGUGGGGCGGCAGCGCCGUCGGCUGGACGACCUUCGCCUACCACGCCAACUACAGGAAGUUCCCCAUGUGCACCGUGCCCGUGGCGCCGUCGGAGGAGACGGAGAGCCUGUGCGGGCGGCCGCUGGGGCUCGCGUUUCACCGCAAGUCCGGCGACCUCUACAUCGCCGACGCGUACAAGGGGCUCAUGAGGGUCGGCCCCGACGGCGGCGAGGCGGAGGUGCUGGCCACCAGUGCCGGUGGCGUCCGGUUCAACUUCGUCAACGGCAUUGACAUUGAUCAGGUUACUGGCGAUGUUUACUUCACCGACAGCAGCGUGACAUAUCCACGAAGGUUUAAUACGGAAAUCAUGAUGAACGCGGACGCGACGGGGAGGCUGCUCAAGUACGACGCGCGGACGAAGCAGGUCACCGUGCUCAAGGACGGCUUGCCGUACGCCAACGGCGUCGCGGUGAGCCACGACAGGACGUACGUCGUCGUCGCGCACACGGUGCCGUGCCAGGCACACAGGUACUAUCUCCAGGGACCAAAGGCUGGCCACUACGAGCUGCUCGCCGACCUGCCGGGCUACCCGGACAACGUGCGGCGAGACGGGAAGGGCGGCUACUGGGUGGCGCUGAACCAGGAGAAGGGGCGCCCGGGCGCGACCACAGCCCCCGUGAAGCACUUGGUCGGUGUCCUCGACGGCGGCGGCGUGGAGGUAGAGGAGCUGACGGCGGCCAAGGGCGUGACGCUCAGCGAGGUGACCGAGAGGAAAGGGCAGCUGUGGCUCGGCUCCGUCGAGCUCGAUUAUAUCGGCCUAGUUGCCUAG